GGAUUUCUUGAGGUAAGUCUCUUGUACUCACUUUUUAUCAAUAAUCUUGUUUCCCCAUUGAUUUUCCACCUAGUUUGUGCGUAUUUAAGGUGGAUUUCGGGAGUUUGAGGCUAGGGAUUUGGAGAGUUUAAUUUGGGGAUUUGAGUGGUGAAUUUGGUCUUGGAUUUGAGUAAUUUUGGCAUGAGUGAACUCGAUGUCGAGUGGCUAUUCGUAUUUUGUGUAUUUUACCCGAUUUCGAGACGUGGGCCCAGGUCGACCUUUUGGGGCUAUUUUUCGAUUCUUUGCUAAAGUCGUAGAUUUAAUAUUUAAAUUAGUUUCUUGUAGCUGUAUUCAUGGUAUGUAAUUUCUUUUGGCUAGAUUUGGGCUGUUCGGAGUCGGAAAAUCGAGGGAAAAGAUUUGGAGGNNNNNNNNNNNNNNAUUUGGUACUGUUGUAACAAUUUGUGAUAUGUGAGAGCCGUGUACGCGAGGUGACGAGUGCGUACACAGGCUAAUUAUUGAAAUUCUGGUUCUUGCUGAGUAGUCUUCUUUUAAAUUCCUUAACUAAGUUGCCUUGGCAUGUGUAGCUGUCAUGUUUAGCCUAGUAUCGCAUGUCUACGUGUAUUAACCUUUACUUGAAAUUUGUGCAACAUGCUUUUUCAUGACCCAAAAUCCACUAUAGGCUGUGAUGGUGCCUAAUGCCGCCGUCAGGCAAGCCAACGAUGAUUGAUCCACUUAAUUACUCAUUUUUAUUCCUUUUGAAAUCAUAAUUUCCAUUAAUUAAAUAGUAUGAAAUAAAUUUAUAGGAUGAAACAAUGAUAAUUACAUGAACUACCAUACUAAAUAUCCAGUAGGAACCCCCAAAAUCCGGUAUCACAAGUGCAUGAGCAUCAACUAGGAAAUAUGAUAAAAUACAACAUCUGUCUGGAAUACAAAUUAGACAGGAGAAUGUAAAUAACUAUGAUGGAGACUCUGUGUGAUGCGGACUCGUAACAUGGGAUGCCGCUCACCUAAGUCCCUGCAAUAGCCGCGCCUCUGCACCCACAAGACCACUAGACAUAUAUGUACCUGCACAAAAUGUGCAGCAAUUAUAGCAUGAGUACGUAAAACAACGUGUACCCAGUAAAUAUCUAGUCUAACCUCAAAGAAGUAGUGACGAGGAGUAGACUUCGACACUUACUAUUGGCUAACAAUAAAAUACCGAAAUUAUAAUUAAGCAUGGAUUAUGUAAAUACAGCUGAAGACUCAAUAACAAGAAAUAAAUACACAAUUCUUUCAAUGAUAGUAAAUCCCAAAUUAGUUUCCAUCAUUUAACAAAUUAAUCUCUCAAGCCAAUGAAACAAUAUCAAUUAUAAUUUGACUCCAAGAAUUAUUACGCACGAAUGAUGCCGAGGUCGUACGGCCCGAUCCAACAUACAAAUAUAUAAAUUGUGCACUGCCGAGGGUCGACCGACAUGAACCAUAGAUGCAUCUAUCUUCUACCGAGGCAUUUGGCCCGCUCCACGAGAAGACAAAAUACUUUAUAAAUAACCGAUUCAAGAUUAUUACGAGGCUAAUAUUCAAAGAAACACCAAUUCUCAUUAACAGUCAAGUGACCCGUCCAAAACUCAAGUAAAUAAAGUUUAACCUUUUACAAUUCUUUUAUUAAGUUCCAAUAUGAUUUAAGUAAUUAAAUUAACAAGCAGGGUGCACAUAUCGUAAGUAUAACAUGAUUUGGGUCCUAGACUACCCGGACAUAAGCAUAAUUAGUAGCUACGUACGGACUCUCGUCACCUCAUGCGUACGCAGCCCUCACAAAUAGAAGCACCUAUUAAAUCAAUUCACCUAUGGGGUUAAUUUGCUUCGAAGUUCCAUAACCGGCUCCAAAGCUUUUCUAACAACUCAAACUGGCGCCCGUCACUCCAAAACUAGUAAAUAAAUGUGAAAUUCCAUGAACAUAUACUCUAAUACUCAUAAUAAAUCAAUUUAUAACAAUUUUUAACUCCGCUCGGAAAACUAAUAAAGUCACCCUCUGGCCCACGUGCCCGAAUUCCGAAAAUUUCCAAAGAUAAUCAUUACCCAUAAUACUACGAACUCAAAUAUAUGAUUUAUUCUCAAUUCCAUGUCUAAUUUCGUGGUCAAAAUCAAAAAAUACCAAUUUUUAGGUUUUCCUUCAAAAUCCCAAAUUUCUAUAAAUUCUCAAGUCUAAAUCCAUAUAUGAAUCUUAUAUUUAACUCACAAUACGCGGGAGUCACUUACCUUGAUAUAGAUGAUGAAAAUCUCCCCUUGAAGCUCUCCAAAAUCGACCAAACCAAGAGAGAAAUGAGAGAAAAUGAGCCAAAUCCCGUUUUUAAAAGAACCUUCUGCCCAAACGAUUUUCACAUCUCCGGCACCGCUUCUGCGGAGUUCGCUCUUGCCGACCAACCGCUUCUGUGGGUGGGCAUCUGCACAAAAGCGUCCACUUCUGCGGACCAACCUCCCCACUCAUUCCCGCUUCUACAACAAUUGCACCGCAUCUGCGGACACGCAGGUGCGGAAAGGACCGAGCCUUUAACUAGGUAGUGUAUAAUUCGAGCCUCUACUAUUUCAACACCAACACUAUAUACAUUUGGAUCCCAGGUGAGCCAUAUUUUGUCAUUCACAGCUUUCUGAUAAUUACACUGCAGAGCCCAUCCUGGCAAUAUGUGUUUAUAAAAUCUCUUCACAUUUGGUUCUUGACUCUUGUCUCAAGCAAUCCAGCUAGUUUAAUAUGUUCACUCUUCAGGUAUGUUAAUAGCUCUUUAUGCUUGUAUCACUUGUUUACACCCCUAACAUUUCACACCAACCAAGUCAUUGAGAUACAUAGGGAGGCCUACUUUUUGCUGUAGGCAGGUUAUUAUUACUCUUUAAUCCACCUGUUAUCUCUGAAGUUCUAGUAUUCCUCUGUAUGCUAGCUGCCAGAGCUGGAAAUUAUCUGGGACAACUAAGCUCAAGGCUUUUAUGCUCUUGCUCCUCCACUCUGAUGUUUUCCUUACCAGGUUCCUUAAUGCUCAUCUGGUCCUCCCUGAUAAGUAAAGUCAUCUUCCUUUGAUCAGUUUCAUGUUGAUAGUGCUCAUCAGUUGUAGCUUUGGUAGUCACCAUAACCUCAGUUACCUUAUCAGUCUUGUCACCAGCUGCUUUUGUUCUCCACUCCUGCUUUGGAGGCCCACCAUCUGUCUGUGCUGGCUGAGCAUUUUCUCUUGGUCUUCUCCUUCUCCUUGGCUGCAUAUAGGCCUGUUCUCAGCUUCUUUUUGCUUGCAGCAAUGACCUAUUUUUAGGCAAACCUCACAGAAUUAUGGUUUCCAAUCAUAUUCAAUCGAUUGUUCAAAUUGUUUUCUAUCUGGUUCCCAUACUAAGACACUAGUAGGAAGAGGCCUUGUAAUAUUUAUUUCAAUGAGCAUACGAGCAUAAAAAAUCCUUUUUUGUUUUGAGGUACACUCAUCAGCAUAAGUGGUUUCCCUAUUGCACUGGCAAUCCUACUCAGUGAUUUACCUCCCCAAAAACUUAUGGGUAGGUUUGGCAAUACCACCCACAUGAGUAUUUUCUUGCAGGAACUCCUUUGUGAAAUCAAAAUUAACAGUCCAUGGCUUCAAUAUCAUUGGUUUGUUAUUGAUUGUAUAAGGUCCAGAAUAUAAAAUUUCCUGCAUAUCACUUGUAGACUGAAAUUUGAUAACAUAAUAUCCUUCCUCGUGGUAAAACACCUCUGGUUCAGCCACUCGAUUCCAGCUCUGUUUCACAAACCUAUGCUUAUAGUUAUACCCCAGUGUCUCUCCAAUUACAUACACAAUCAGUGCACUCAUCCAUUUUUGGAUUUCUCUAUCAACAUCAUCCUUUUCAAGAUGAACAACAACUUUUCCCUCAACAAUUGGAAGAGGAAUGUAAUCUAAUUUUAAACCGUUUUCAAAGCUACGAUUACCUGCAAAUAGGGAUGUCCAUGCAAUUUGCUUUUUCUUGUUCUCAAUUGUUGGUUCCAGAUCUGGGACACCCUUACUCGUACUCACUUGAUCUGUUGUCUUCACUGGUGUAAUCUCAUUUUGUACGCUUAGAGAUGGGCUAGUGCUCAAACCCAGCCUCUUAGCGGUGUGUUGCAUACUUGAUUCCAUUUGUUUUUGCUUCAAAUUUGGCAAUGAAAUAGGAGUAGUCGUUGAUUGUGUCACAUUUGAUAUUUCCAGCUGCAUGUGAGCUUCAGCUGCUUUACCUAUAGUAGCUAAAGGUUUCAACCUAGAUCAUCCACGAUCUCGACCUCUUCCCCUAUCCAUAACCACGGUGGGCGUACAUUUAACUAACAUGCGCUGAGGGCAUGAGAGCUAGAGAGAGAAAGCAUACCUUAAUUAUAUUAUUGUGAUGUUUCCUAUGUACCAUUUGUUGUCUCUACUCUUACAUGUUGACUCGAGUUAUGAUAGAAUACUUGCACAAGCAUACAUGUAAUUAAUCACUCGUAUUAGUUUGAGAAGAUUAACCCUGAUGUCUAUUGAGCAUUUACAUAUAUUCUCGUAUACUUGCCUUCUGCGUGAGACUUAUUCUUGUAGCACAUGAGUUGUCCGUGCGGUCAAGAUCAUUAUUAUUGUUGGCACGUGAGUUAUCCGUGCGGGUAUGAGAUAUUAUCACUCCCUUGGCACGUGGAUCGUCCGUGCGGUUAUGAAUUGUAAUGUGAGCACAAGCUGCCAAGUGAUUAGGAUUCAUGAGUUGGGACCCGUGAAAUGUGACUAUGAGGUGAAGUACCUCGGGAAAGUCCUUGAACAAAUCUUAUGUGAAAGUGGUUGCUCUUAUUGAGUGUUACUUGUUUUUCCUUACUUGGUUUCAUCGGACUUAAACUGUAUUCACCAUACUCCACGGCGUUAUUACCAGUUGUGUCUCGUUGCUAAUUGUUGCUUUUAGUUUUCUAUUACCAACAUUGUUUCAUUAUUGUUAUCAUGCUUAACUUUAUAUUGAUAUUGUUCCCUUUAGUUUCAAAUUCAUACUUGUACAUGUUAUUAAAUCUAGUAGGUGUCUUAUUUGUCCCUCAUCAUUACUCCACCGAGGUUAGUUUUGAUACUUACUGGGUACCGCUGUAGUGUACUCAUGCUACACUUUUUGUACAUUUUUGUGCAGAUCCAGGUACUCGGAGUUUGUUGAUCAUUAGCUAGCUGAUCGGCAUUGCUGUGGAGACUAAAGGUACACAUGUUGUCGCAUUCGUAGGCCUCAGAGUCAUCUUCUGAAAUUUUAUUUUGUACUGUUUAUUCCUAUUACAGAACAAUUGCAUUUUAGAGAUUUUCUAGUAAAUUCAGUAGAGUUUAUCACUUGUACUACCAAUUUUGGGAUUGUUGGCUUGUAUAGAAAAUUCCAUUUCCAAAUUAAUAGUUGUUGGUUAAAUUUUGCCAUUAAUUCAGUAAGUGCUAGGCUUACCUAGUCCUAAAGACUAGGUGCCAUCACGACAUCCUACGGAGGAAAAUCGAGAUCGUGACAAAGAAAUACCACUCACACUGAACUGCUAGCUCUGGCAUAUGGGCUAAGAAUUGCUCUGCAGUUCAACUUCUAUCCAUUAGUAAUUAAAAUUUAUUGCAAGGCAGUGCUCGACUUGUCAAAUGAUAAAUCUGCAUACUUAGGGGUGGUUAAUAUUAGAAAUGAUCGGGGUCAAGUGUUUAUUAUUUUUUCAUGUCCUCUGGGCUGUAUGAUAAAUAACAAUUCAGAGGCUUUGGCUUUUAAGCUAGGAGUUGACUGGUGCAAUAGGACUGGAAUAAGGAGGAUUGGAAUUGAAUGUGACUCAACGCUCCUAACUGAAUGGAUUUCUAGCAAAUAUGACCUCCAUGGGACUUGUGGGAUAUCAUAGUAUAUAUUGAAGAGAUGCUCUGGACUAUUAAUCACUGCUUUAGAGAGGGCAGUAAAGUUGCUGAUUUACGUGCAAAUUGGGAACUGCAUUGUACUAGUGAUGCUUAUAUACCGAUAGGGAUGGCAAUUGGGCGGGGCGGGGCGAGACGGGGUGGGAUUGAGCGUUAGCGGGUUUGGGAGUUUGCGGUUGCGGGGCGGGUUCAAUUUUUAAAUAAAAAAAAACACGCUGGGCGGGACGGGUCGCGGGUUGGGGAUUUUAUUUCCCCCUAUUUCCUGCAUCGAUUUUUCUAGUAAUUUUUCUACGUUUUGAUUCAGUCCAUCCUCUUCCUAACUCACAUUCAUCCUCUCUGGUUUUCCUUCUAGCUUCAUCUUCCACAACAGUGGACGCCGCUUUGUAACAGACAAUGCACCAAUAAAUUCUCUGCUCUCACCCAAAUUCCUUGUAAUUUAUAGAAAUAGGAGAAUGACAAGUGACAAAAUAUGGGAAUCUAUAUAGGGUAUCAUGUCAAUUAUCAAAGUUACCAAAUUUUACAUACUUUGCUUUGUUUCAUCGAUAGGAAAUACCAGAAAUAGCUAAAAGCGUAGAAGAUAAUAUUUUGAUGGUGUUUCUUAAAUUAUCUUUGUGAAAAAUAAUGAUUGGCAACUAUAACAAAAUGCUUAGAGUUAGAAAUAAAGAAUGAAUCUUUAUGCCAAAUUUAAGUGGCAAAUUUUAAGAUGUUGCGUAGAUGUUUGUGGCGUCUUUAUAUAAUGCAACUACUGGCCAAAAAAAAGAAAAAAAGAGAGAAUUUUCUUUUUUAAAAAUUGCGGUGCGGAGCGGGGCGGGUGAACGCGGGUGGAGUGUAGGGCGGGUGGAUGCGGGUUUAAAUCUUAUGCGGUACAGGUUAAAAUUGUGCGGGUUCAGACAGAACCAGCCCCGCACCCGCACCACCUGCCAUUCCUAUAUAUCGGAUAUCAGGCCAUUCCAAGAGAAAUAAGAGGGUCUAUCUAUGUAGACAGAAUGCAACUUCUAGCUUUAAGAAUGAAUACUCAUAAGAGUUCCUCUUGGAUGGAUAAAAAAAUGUAUAGGCUCUAUAAUUUUGAUGUACCUUGAUAGGUAUGCUUGCUGGAAUAGGAAAGAUUAUAGAUAAUCUCUUAGCAUAUAAUUGAUUUUUGUAUGCUUCUGUGAAAUCCUACCUGAUUAAAAUAAUGGAGCAUGUUUAAUUCUAAGUAGGUACAUAGAAUUUAAUAUAUGUAUAUAUGCUACCAUCCUUUGAGACGGGGAAGAUUGCUAAACAAAGGUUGAUAUGAGACAUCCAACAUGAUGUUUGAGACAUAUAUAUAUGUAUAUAUAUNNNNNNNNNNNNNNNNNNNNNNNNNNNNNNNNNNNNNNNNNNNNNNNNNNNNNNNNNNNNNNNNNNNNNNNNNNNNNNNNNNNNNNNNNNNNNNNNNNNNNNNNNNNNNNNNNNNNNNNNNNNNNNNNNNNNNNNNNNNNNNNNNNNNNNNNNNNNNNNNNNNNNNNNNNNNNNNNNNNNNNNNNNNNNNNNNNNNNNNNNNNNNNNNNNNNNNNNNNNNNNNNNNNNNNNNNNNNNNNNNNNNNNNNNNNNNNNNNNNNNNNNNNNNNNNNNNNNNNNNNNNNNNNNNNNNNNNNNNNNNNNNNNNNNNNNNNNNNNNNNNNNNNNNNNNNNNNNNNNNNNNNNNNNNNNNNNNNNNNNNNNNNNNNNNNNNNNNNNNNNNNNNNNNNNNNNNNNNNNNNNNNNNNNNNNNNNNNNNNNNNNNNNNNNNNNNNNNNNNNNNNNNNNNNNNNNNNNNNNNNNNNNNNNNNNNNNNNNNNNNNNNNNNNNNNNNNNNNNNNNNNNNNNNNNNNNNNNNNNNNNNNNNNNNNNNNNNNNNNNNNNNNNNNNNNNNNNNNNNNNNNNNNNNNNNNNNNNNNNNNNNNNNNNNNNNNNNNNNNNNNNNNNNNNNNNNNNNNNNNNNNNNNNNNNNNNNNNNNNNNNNNNNNNNNNNNNNNNNNNNNNNNNNNNNNNNNNNNNNNNNNNNNNNNNNNNNNNNNNNNNNNNNNNNNNNNNNNNNNNNNNNNNNNNNNNNNNNNNNNNNNNNNNNNNNNNNNNNNNNNNNNNNNNNNNNNNNNNNNNNNNNNNNNNNNNNNNNNNNNNNNNNNNNNNNNNNNNNNNNNNNNNNNNNNNNNNNNNNNNNNNNNNNNNNNNNNNNNNNNNNNNNNNNNNNNNNNNNNNNNNNNNNNNNNNNNNNNNNNNNNNNNNNNNNNNNNNNNNNNNNNNNNNNNNNNNNNNNNNNNNNNNNNNNNNNNNNNNNNNNNNNNNNNNNNNNNNNNNNNNNNNNNNNNNNNNNNNNNNNNNNNNNNNNNNNNNNNNNNNNNNNNNNNNNNNNNNNNNNNNNNNNNNNNNNNNNNNNNNNNNNNNNNNNNNNNNNNNNNNNNNNNNNNNNNNNNNNNNNNNNNNNNNNNNNNNNNNNNNNNNNNNNNNNNNNNNNNNNNNNNNNNNNNNNNNNNNNNNNNNNNNNNNNNNNNNNNNNNNNNNNNNNNNNNNNNNNNNNNNNNNNNNNNNNNNNNNNNNNNNNNNNNNNNNNNNNNNNNNNNNNNNNNNNNNNNNNNNNNNNNNNNNNNNNNNNNNNNNNNNNNNNNNNNNNNNNNNNNNNNNNNNNNNNNNNNNNNNNNNNNNNNNNNNNNNNNNNNNNNNNNNNNNNNNNNNNNNNNNNNNNNNNNNNNNNNNNNNNNNNNNNNNNNNNNNNNNNNNNNNNNNNNNNNNNNNNNNNNNNNNNNNNNNNNNNNNNNNNNNNNNNNNNAUGUUUGAGACAUGCUACAAGAUGUUUCAAACAUCCCGUGAGAUGUUUGAGACCUCUAUUGUUUAUAUCCCAGAUUCUUAGUCAUGUGACUUUUGAUUGUUAAUAUAUCGAAUAUGAAGUGAUGACCAUAUAUAUUACUAAAUCCUUCAAGUCGAUUCAAACUUAACGAACAUUACUUUUGUAUAAGAUAUUUUUUCUAUUUUCAUUGGCCUUCAUCUCCUUCUUGUGACCUUGUGUAUUCAAACUGAUUUGAAAAAACCUGAAUGAUGUUUAAACUUAUAUCAAGAUGUUUGAAACAUCCUGUUAAUUGUUUGAAACAUCCUUUGUGAUGUGACAAACUUCUUUCGAGAUGUGUGAAACAAAUAACAAUGGCACAUCCAUCAAUUACAGUAACCUACUAACCUUCUACUCUAAUAUGCAUCCUCCACAUCCUCUUAUUUAAGGUCAUGUCAACAGUAAGCUUCAACUGUAUCAUGUCCUAUCUGAUCACCUAUCCCUAAUAAUUCUUUGACCUAUAUAUAUGUAAGUAUGUAUGUAUGUAUGUAUGUAUGUAUGUAUGUAUGUAUGCUACUAUCCUUUGAGACGGAGGAGAUUGAUAAACAAAGGUUGAUAUGAGACAUUCAACAUGAUGCUUGAGACAUGCUACAAGAUCUUUCAAACAUCCCGUGAGAUGUUUGAGACCUCUAUUAUUUAUAUCCCAGAUUCUUAGUCAUGUGACUUUUGAUUGUUAAUAUAUCGAAUAUGAAGUGAUGACCAUAUAUAUUACUAAGUCCUUCAAGUCGAUUCAAACUUAACGAACAUUACUUUUGUAUAAGUUAUUUUUUCUAUUUUCAUUAGCCUUCAUCUCCUUCUUGUGACCUUAUAUUUCAAACUGAUUUGAAAAAACAUGAAUAAUGUUUAAACUUAUAUCAAGACGUUUGAAAUAUCCUGUCAAUUGUUUGAAACAUCCUGUGUGAUGCGACAAACUUCUUUCGAGAUGUGUGAAACAAAUAACAUUGUCACAUCCAUCAAUUACAGUAACCUACUAACCUUCUACUCUAAUAUGCAUCCUCCACAUCCUCUUAUUUAAGGUCAUGUCAACGGUAAGCUUCAACUGCGCCAUGUCCUAUAUGAUCACCUAUCCCUAAUACUUCUUCGACCUAUAUAUAUGUAUGUAUGUAUGUAUGUAUGCUACCAUCCUUUGAGACAGAGGAGAUUGAUAAACAAAGGUUGAUAUGAGACAUCCAACAUGAUGUUUGAGACAUGCUACAAGAUGUUUCAAACAUUCCGUGAGAUGUUUGAGACCUCUAUUGUUUAUAUCCCAGAUUCUUAGUCAUGUGAAUUUUUAUUGUUAAUAUAUCGAAUAUGAAGUGAUGACCAUAUAUAUUACUAAGUCCUUCAAGUCGAUUCAAACUUAACGAAUAUUACUUUUGUAUAAGAUAUUUUUUUUAUUUUCAUUAGCCUUCAUCUCCUUGUUGUAACCUUGUGUAUUCAAAGUGAUUCGAAAAAACCUGAAUGAUGUUUAAACUUAUAUCAAGACGUUUGAAACAUCCUAUCAAUUACUUGAAACAUUCUUUGUGAUGUGACAAACUUCUUUCGAGAAGUUUGAAACAAAUAACAUUGGCACAUCCAUCAAUUACAAUAACCUACUGACCUUCUACCCUAAUCUGCAUCCUUCACAACCUCUUAUUUAAGGUUAUGUCAACGGUAAGCUUCAACUGCACCAUGUCAUAUCUAAUCACCUAUCCCUAAAACUUUUUCGUCCUACCUCUACCUCUCUUGAAACCAUCCAUAGCCAAUCUCUCACAAUUACGUACUAGGGCCUCCGUGCAUCUCCUCUGUACCUAACCGAACCAUUUCGCAAACAAUUGCAAUAAAAAUAUUCUUAUUUGUGAUUUAAUAUUUAAUCAAUUGCAGAAUUAAGUUUAAACUAGCAAACUUCCGGCGCUUCGCGUGAUUGUUUAAAAUAUAAGAUUCAUCAAACAAUCAUUUUCUAACUUUGAGGAAGAAUAUUUAAACUUGUAAAAGGAUGUAUUUAAAAAAAUAAAUAAAUUUGUUAAUAUCUUCAGUUCGGAUUACUUAGCCUUGGCAAUAGGAAAUAUGAGUAUUUCAACGGAGGGUGAGAUUAAUAUGAAACGUUCCGUUGACAUCAAAUUCUUAAAGCGCUUAAAUAUAUGUAAAGGGGUGAUGUAUUUUCCUUCUGCAUUUACGCAUCUUAAAUCUCCAUAAAUGCACCUCCUUUCCUGAUACAUUCCACCAUACUAUAAAUCGAGGCCAAAUAAUCAUUCAACCUUCUUCAACAAUUUCUCCAUCAAAGAUUCACAAUCACUUUCCAAGUUAAAUACAAAUUGAGGAGUAACUUAAAAUCAAAUAAGUGGCUUACGUGUGGGAGUGACAUUAGGUGUAUCGUCAAGGAUCCUCCUCGAAGUAGUUUGUAUAAACCCAACAAUAUACAGUCCCUCCAUAACGUAUUUAGGCGCACAUUUCAUUUUCCAAAUUCCCUAGCAUGUUAGGCAGGGGGCACUUAACAUAAUUAUUGAGUAAUGCCAUUUGAAUCUUUUAAAGUCCACCAUUCCAUUAAGAUACAUUGCAGAUCUUUAUCCUAAAAGGAAAAACCCAUUAAGGUUGAGAAGAGCUUCCUCCAAGCGACAACUUAGUCACUUUAUGCAAUUAAUUUGAACCAAUAAAGUCAGAGUAAUCCGUUAAAAAGAUGGUAGAGAAAACUCGUUAGAUCUUCACUUGCAAAGAUUAAAUUUGUCAUUAACACUGACUCCUGAUUAUUGAUCUUUAGUUCCUAUAUAACCGACGCUAAAGACUGGAAAUUGAGAGAGAUAAAAGUAAUCCAAUAAAUCAAUUAAACUCAUUCGAAGAGCAGAGCUGAAAUCCGAAGUUUGGAGGAGCUUCAUGCCAUCAUGAUUAAAUUAAAGAGGCGAGUUGCCUAAUGGUUAAACAAAUUUAAAGAACAUUUGAAACCAAAAAUCAAAAUAGAAAGAUUAGUGUUGCUCACCAUUGUUGAUCAAGAACCGAAACUUGAUCGUAAAGAGCAAUUGGUAAAACUUGGAGAGAGGGAAUCAAUGCAAACAUUUGAUAGUAAGCGAUUCAAUUAAUUAAAUGAACCAAAUGAAGUUUUAGUGGCGGCAUGUCAUUUCCCAAAACUACCAACCGGUCGUGAUGGUGCCUAACUCACUUGCUAGACAAGCAAAACAUAACGAAGGCGAAAUAAGAUAAUAGAAUUAACGAAAAUAGUAUAAAUCCAAAGCCAACUGACAUAAAUAAACUGCGUCAAUACAUAAAAUUUUCCAUAACUAGUAGUACGGAGUCAUGAGCUCUACAAACAAAUACUAGCCUAGAAAUAUGAAAUACCAAUACUGUCUGAAUAAUAAUAACAGCAACUGAAAUGGAGUGAGACACCAUGGACUGCAGUCAGAAUGCAGCUCUAACUUGUCUCUCAGCAAGUUUCAGCAGAAUACGGACAAUUCUGAACUGGGUCCAACACCUGGAUCUGCACAAUUAAAUACAGAGUGUAGUAUGAGUACAAUCGACCCCAUGUACUCAGCAAGUAUCAUAACUUACCUCGGCGAGGUAAUAGCAACAAGAAUUAUCAAUGAAACUCGCUAAUAAUCUUCUCAGUUCAUAAAUUUCACAAGUACACUACAAUAAUACCAUCUAAUCACAAAAACAUAGAUAAAGUCACCUUGGUACACAAAGAAUAAUGUACCAAGUCAUGUAUCAAUUAACAAUCCGGCAUAUAGAGAAGAUAUGCAUCUACUAUCAAGUCUCGGUGCACAUAUAGACAUAUAAAGAAGAUAUGUACCAUGCUCCGACUAAUCAAACCAAAUAGCAUAGACAGAAGAUAUGCACAACGAGGCAUGUAUACAUUCCGGAUCUAGCAUAUAGAGAAUAUAUGCAAAUAAAACAUGUAUACAUCCAAGAAAAUUGCAAGUAGAGAAGAAAUAAAAUAACCAAACUCUGAUCAGUUUUUCUCAUACCUCGUGUACAUCAUAAAGAGAGAAAGAUGAGAGGGUGACCCUAGGGGAUGGAUCCUUAUCCACACGUUGCACGGAUUACUCACGUGCCAAAUAUAAUAACCGCAUGGACCACUCACGUACUAUCAUAACCUAGAUCUGCAUGGAUCACUCACGUGCUAUCAACCUAGUAUAUAUCACAUAGAAAUCAUAUACAAGAAUACAUGUACAUGAUCAAUGGAUAUCAAAUUACAUACUCAUGGACUGAUAUAAUUGGUAUGCUAAGGUGCAGGCAUGUGCAAAGUAUAAUACCAUAGUUCAAAUUAGGCGAUUAUGCCACAAAAAUAGCAAUUAACAUAUUUGGAUAGGAUAUUAAGCUAAGAAUAACCUCUAACAUGAUUCAAUUAUCUCAAAGAGGGUACAAACAUGACAAGCAUGAUAGCGUGAAGCUUAGCAAUCAAUUCAAGGCAUACCAUAGUCUAAGCGCUACCCCGAGCAUAGAUAAAACCUCAAGGCACGCACAUAGGAUCAACCCCUCGCAUGUGCGCCACCCAUAGCACGUAGCCAACACUAGUAACUUAGGCAACUAGUGCCUCAACCAAGUUUAGGUAAGAUACUUACCUCAUGUAAGCCAAAUCAAUUCUCUAGAAAUCCCUUCCCACGCGAAUCGACCUGCGAACGACUCGAAUCUAACCAAAAAUAACUUAAUAACAUCAAUAAAGACCAUAGAAAAUAACCCCCAAACAAUAAGGCUUUGAUCUUGAUACAAAUAUACAAAGUCAACUAAAGAUUCAACUCAGGUCCGUAUCCCCGCAACCCGACAAAAGUUACAAAUCUUGAAUACCCAUUUGAAUACGAGUCCAAUUAUACAAGUUUCAUCCAAUUCCAACUCCGAAUCGGGGUUCAAAUCCUUAUUUUUCAUUUUAGAAAAGUUUUGCCAAAACCCUUAAUUUUUCUCACUUAGAUCAACCAACAAAAUACUAAAAUCAAGGAUGGAAUCGAAUAAUAAUCAAAUCCAAGUAAAGAAUACUUACCCCAAUCCAAUUCGUGAAAAUCCCCUAAAAUGAUAAAAUGUGUAAAAGUGUAAAGGUCACGAAAUGCGUCCCGAAAUAUGAUAAAAUGUGUAAAAGUCCCAAAAUUCGUCGCUUAAAAGGUCUGUCCAGGUGUUCCCUUCGCAAACACGGCACGUGCCUUGCGUUACUGCCUCUAGAAAUGCCUUCACGUUCACGGACAUGACCUCGCAAACGUGAUGAAGAACCCACCUAGUCCUAUGCAAACGCGACCAUGUCCUCGCGAAUGUGCAGUCCAACCACCUCCAACUACUUCGCUACUUCGCGAACGUGGAAUCCAACUGUGAAUGCGAUAACGGGCGACUGACCAACUCAUACUUCGUCACAACACAAAAUCCUAACCUGUCGUGAUGGCACCUAUCAUGGUACUAGGCAAGCCGACAUUUAUGAAAUAACUCCAACACUUAACAGAAAACGAAUUUAAAAUAGUUUAAAUGAUAACAACUUCCCAUAAACAGGAUAGAAAUCCAAAAUACAAUGCGAAAAUUUCGAACACCGGGGUGUCACUAAGUACAUGAGCAUCUAUACAUCAUAAGUCCAAAAAAUACUGUCUAUAAAAAUCUGAAACCAAAUACAAUAAGUGGAAAGAUAGGAAAGGAGAAACAAGGUCUGCGAAACGCCGACAGCUACCUCAAAAUCUCCAGAAGAUCAACUAUGCGCGGAAAUCAACACCCACUGUGUCCGGGAACAUCUGGAUUUGCACACAAAGUGCAGGGUGUAGUAUGAGUACAACCAACUCAGCAAGUAACAAUACUAAAUAAAGAACUAAAAGUAGUGACGAGUUUCACAAUUAUAGUUCAACUACAGUGAUUUCAACAUAAGAAAGUAGGCAUGCUCUCAAGUUCGAUAAAUUAGGUCAACAGUUAUUCCAUGACCAGUUCAAGUGAAAUAGAGUGUAAUAUCUUUCAGAAAUUUCAAACAAUGAUACAUGGCAGUUAAUGCAACAAUAAUAAAAUCAAAUGCAUCCUCUCAGGGCCACACUCACUCAACCUUCCCAUUCACUCAGCACUCAGCACUCGCACUCAAUAGGUACCCGCGCUCACUGGGGAUGUGUGCAGACUGCGGAGGGGCUCCUUCAGCCCAAGCGCUAUAAUUCGCACGGACAACUCACGUGAUGCACGGACAACUCACGUGCUGCACGAAUAACUCAUGUGCUAUAGUAUAAUAUCCGGAUCCGCAUAGACAACUCACGUGCUAUAGUAUAAUAUCUCACAACCAGGCCCUCGGCCUCACUCAGUCAUCAACCUCUCCAGGCUCUCGGGCUCUCAGAAAUCAUAAUAAGCAUCCCAGACAACAAUAAUAUGAUGCAUAAAAAAUGAACAAUAGAGGCUGAGAUGUAAUAUACAAAUAAACUGUGACUGAGUACAAACAACAAUUAGCAGAAAAUCCAACAUGUACGCGACCUUUAUGGGUCCCUAUAAUGCACACACAUAGUCUAAACAUGAUUUGUGGUUCAAUUUCUCUAAUAAAUGGAGAAUAAACAGACAACAACAGAUUAUUCACUACACAGUCCCAUGGCAUUUGACCGUGUUACAAUUCCUACGGUGCACGCUCACACGCCCGUCACCUAGCAUGCGCGUCACCUCAAAACCAAAUGCAUGACACGUAAUAUGAGAUUUUAUACCCUCAGAACCAAAUUUAGAACUGUUACUUACCUCAAUCCGAGCAAAUCUCUACUACAACAUACCCUUGCCUCACGAAACGGCCUCCGAAUGCCUCGAAUCUAGCCAUAAAUAAUGCGAUAUAAUCAAUACGGGCUAAAGGAAUCAACUCCAUAAGAAAAUUCUAAGAUAUUAAUCAAAAUAAAAAAUCGGCUCAAAAGCCGGCCCCCGGGGACACGUCUUGAAAUUUGAUAAAAGUUACAAAACCCGGAAGCCCACUCAACCACGAGUCUAACCAUACUAAAUUUAUCAAAAUCCGACACCAAAUCGUCACUCAAUCCCCCAAAUCAAUCUCUUCAAAUCACUAGCCUCAAACUCCCAAUUUACACCUUAAAUACACACCAACUAGGUGGGAAUAUCAAUGGGGAAGCAAUACUAUUGAUAAAAAAUGAGCACAAAGGACUUACCUCAAGAAUCCCCUUGAAAACCCUCUCAACAAUUGCCUAAACUGUGCUUGAAAUGUUAGAAAUGAAGCCAAAAUCGUGAACCCUUGCUUUUAACAUUCUGUCCAGUCUUUUCGCACUUGGGACCACAUAUCCGCACCUGUGGAACCGCUUCUGCAGUAAAUUCUCUAUUUAUGUGGAAGCCACUUAAAUCUACUAGGCCUGCAUCUGCGCUCCAUGUUCCGCACCUGCGAAGCCUCUUUUGCGGCCUUCCAUCCGCUUCUGCAGAAACAGGCCCCCCUCUCAAUUCCACAUCUGCCUCGCUCGCACCUACGGGCUCGCAGAUGCGGUAAAUUCCUCGCACCUGCGCCCUUUCCAGGCCAGCCUAACUCCGCUUCUGCGUAAACCCAACCACAUCUGCAGUAUCGCAGGUGCGGAAAUGACCUUGUGCCUGCAACCUCUACUCACCUCCUCCCUUGCCGCUUCUGAAGUUCACCUCUCACUUCUGCGAGAUCGCACCUGCGAUCCCCACUCCGUAGGUGCGAUUACACCAGAAGCUAGUAAGCUUCAGCACUUCCCUCAAACUUCAAUUUGUUCCGUUAGCCAUCCGAAAUCACCCGAGGUCCCCGAGACCUCAGCAAAACAUACCAACAAGUCUUAACACCUCAUACGAACUUAGUAGAGCCUUCAAACAACCUCGAACGACAUCAAUAACACGAAUCACACAUAGAUUCAAGCCCAAUGAACUUUAAACUUCUAGUUUUUACAAACAAUGUCGGAUCCUAUCAAUUCACAUAUGUUUACCCCAAAUUUUGCACACAAGUCAUAAAUGAUACCACGGACCUACUCCAACUUCCAGAAUCGGAAUUCAAUCCCGAUAUCAAAAAGUCCACUCCCGAUCAAACUUCCUAAAAAUUUAACUUUCGCAAUUUCAAGCCUAAUUCAACCACAGACCUCUAAAUCACAAUCAGGACACGCUCCUAGGUCCAAAAUUACCUAACGGAGCUAACGAAAACAUCAAAACUUUGUUCUGGAGUCAUUUACUCAAAGAUCAACAUCCGGUCAAUCAUUUCAACUUAAGCUUUCAACCUUGAGACUAAGUGUCUCAUUUCAUCUUGAAAUCACACCGGAUCUGAACCGACUACCCCGACAAGUCACAUAACAUCUAUAAUGUAUAAAAUGAGCAGUAAAUGGGAGAACGAGGCUACAACUCUUAAAAUGACCGGCUGAGUCAUUACAUACUUACUCUCCGCGGACACGACUACUUUGUCAUGAACACGAUAAAGAAUCAGACACCAGCAAAAUCUACAUUUUCCAAAAUGCUCUGGGUGGUCCGAAACCCACCCGAACCUCCCGAAAUAUCAUGACCCAAACUCCCACCGGAGCCGUGAUGGCACCUCACAAUGCUUUCUAGGCAAGCCAAAACUUUUACAAUAACAAUAAACUCAAUUAACAGAAAAUAAUAACCUCAAUAGCGAAAUAAUCAUAAAAUAUCUAAAAAUAGCAACAAUAACGCAACUACAACCAUCCAAUGAUCUGAUGUCAACAAGUACAUGAGUACUAAAGAAUCUCAAAAUACAAAGUCAAAUCCUCAAUAUAGAACUGUCUGAGUGAUAGAACAAUGAUAACAGAAAUAAACAAAAUAGAACUUCAAGGUCUGUGAACAACAUAUCAGCUACCUCGUAGUCUCCACAAGUUAGAACCGCUGCAAACUCUAGCAAUCACUACGCCCAGUAGUACGUGACUAUGCACAUAAAGUGCAGAGUAUAGUAUGAGUACAACCGACUCCAUGUACUCAAUAAGUAACAAACCUAACCUCGGGCUGAAAGUAGUGACGAGCUCGGAAGAAGGUCAGUGUCCAACACCAAUAAUCAAUAACAACACAUAAUAUAAUGAUGACAGUAAAAGAAAACACUCAAGAGAUAACAUAUUCAACUCGUUCACAAAUACGGAAAAUUAUACAUGCUUUCCAAGUAUAACAGUUAAAACCCCAAUCUUACCACCAAAAUCACUAAAACAUGAACGUAUUACGAAAAACAUUUCAAAACUUACAACAAUAGAUAAGACAUUUUAUUUUCCAUCUAGCAUGAGGAAAAUACAUCUCUAUGCCUACAUGUCAAAUGUAUAUAUCAAUUCAAUAAAAUCACAAUGAAGCUAUCGGGUGUACUCUCACUCAGCACGUUCACGGUGCCUGGCACAAGUGCCCCUCACUAUCACACUCACAACCACACUUAGAAUUGUAUGGGUGCCUAGCAUAAAUGCCCCUCACCAAAGCACAUAUAUGACCAUGUGUAUGCGCUCACUGUAAAUACCAGACUCUGGAGGGGCCGAUCCAUGCCCAAUCGCUAAUUGAAUAUAAGACAACCAUCAAUAUAACCAUUGCGGCAUGUAACCCGAUCCAAAUAUAAGUCACAAUACGGCUCCAUGGCCCACAUAAGUCAUCAACCGCUCAAGUCUCAAUUAACCACAUCUCACCAUACUAAGUUCAACAGUGUUACACAUAUGAGGCAUCAACAACAUGUGAGAAAUCACAAUAAGAACACAAUGAGACAGAGAUAUCAUAUACGGAUAUAGCAUUAUGAUUGAGAGUAUGUCCACAGUUAAGGAAAACAACUCAAAAACAGAAAGAAUAGCCCUAUCAUGUCUCAAAAAAGUAAGCACACAACCUAUACAUGAUUUCAAAUAUGAAUCAUAGCUCAAGUAAUCAUACACGUAGAGAAAAUACGGAUAUGAUGAGGCAUGACAGAAACCAAGUCUCAUGGUAGCCUAAAGUCUGCCUGGAUUAUGAAUACCCCGGUGUAUGCACACACGCCCGUUACCUAGCCCGUGCGUCACCCCCAACACAUCUCAUGUAUCUUAUUUCACGUGGAUAAUUACCCUCAAGACAAGUUUAGAUAUAUUACUUACCUCAAAUCGUCUGAAUCAAUAUUCCAAAAAGCCCUUCCCACGCGAAUCGACCUCCGAGCGACUCAAAUCUAGUCAAAAUAACUCAAUAUCAUCAAUAGAAGACAUAGGAAACAACCCCAAAUAAUAAAGCUAUGACCUUGAAUCAAUUAUGCAAAGUCAACCCGAAAAGUCAGCCCCGGGCGCGUACCUCAGAACCCGUCAAAACUCACAAAUCCUGAACACCCAUUCUGAUACAAGUCCAAAUAUAUGUGUCUCAUCCAAAUCCAACCUCAAUUCGACUUUCAAAUCAUCAAUUUUCACUCUCCAAAACCAUAGUAAAGACCCCCCCCCCCCCAAUUCCACCCUUAAUUCACAUAAACUAGUGUAAUAAUCUAUGAGUAAUAAAUAUCUAACAACAAAAUCGUGUUAAGAUUACUUACCCAUUCAAUUGAAGUGAAAUCCUCUCGAAAACUCGCCUCUAGUCGAGCUCCACAAUUACAAAUAAUGCAAAAUGACCAAAGCCUCGAACUCAUAUAGUCUACCUAGGGAUUCCGCGUUUGCAGUCCAAAUUACUACAUCUGCGAUCAAAAUCUCGCAUCUGCGAGUUCCACUUAAAAACCGACCAAGAGCAUUUGUGGUCCUCCAAGCGCAUAUGCACUUCCUCUUCUGCGGACAAACGUCGCAUUUGCGGACCUCCUAAUGCCAAGUUAAACUUGCACAUGUGCAUCAAAGGCCGCUUAUGUGGCUAUGCAUCUGCGACAAAAAUUUUGCAGAUGCAAAAACAUCAUACUCAAAAAUCUUCAGCCAUGCCAACUUAAUCAAAAAUGAUCUGAAACUCAUACAAAACACACCUGAGGCCCCCGGUACCCCUUCCAAUCAUACCAACCAAUCCCAAAAAUAUAAUACGGACCUACUCGAGGCCUCAAGUCACACAAAACAACAUCAAUACCAUGAAUCACACCUCAAUUCAAGCCUAAGGAACUAAUAAACUUUCAACUUCCAUAACUCAUGCCGAAUCACAUCAAAUCAACUCAGAAUGACCUCACAUUUUGAUACAAGUCCCAAAUGACACAACAGACCUAUUCCAACUCCCGAAAUCACAAUCUGACCCCGAUAUCAUUGAAGUCAACUCCCGGUCAAAAUUAUGAACAUUUCAAUUUUUGCCAAAUAGAACCAAAUAAACCUAUGUAAAUCCAAAUUCAAAAUCCAGACAUACACCUAAGUCCAAAAUCACCAUAGAAACCCAUUGAAAUUAUCAAAAUACCAUUUCGGGGUCAUCUACAUAAAAGUCAAACUCCGAUAAAUUCUUACAACUUAAGCUCCCGGCCAAGGGACCAAAUUUCCUAAUUAAAUCCAAAACUUCCCCGAAAGUACACCAACCGCCCCGCAAGUCAAAUAACAACAAAUACACACGAGGGCAUCAAAUAGGGGAAACAACGCUAAAAUACCCAAAAUGACCGGUCGGGUCAUUACAUUCUCCACCUCUUAAACAAGCUUUCAUUCUCAAACAUGUCUAGAAUUAUACCUGGGGUGUCAAAAAGUGAGGAUAUCUGCUCCGCAUCUCUGGCUCGGCCUCCCAAGUAACCUCUUUGACCGACUGACCUCUCCAAUGAACCCUUACCAAUUCAAUAUUCUUCGACCUCAACUUUCAAACAUACCAGUCCAAAAUAGCCACCACACCGUGCUGAAGUCUAAUACAUACUAUUUGGACUUCAUAAUCAUUCAAGAGCAUGGAAACAUGAAACACUAUUUGGACGGAUCCCUAUAAUACUUCUAGAGCAUGGAAACAUGAAAUACUAUUUGGACUCCCAAUAAACUAGGUGGCAAGGCAAGUCUUUAGGCUACCUCUCCAACUCUAUUUAGAACUCAAAAAGGCCAAUAUACUGAGAGCUUAACUUUUCCUUCUUUCCAAACCUCAUCACACCCUUCAUAGGUGAAAUUCUAAGUAGAACCUUCUCACCCACAAUAUAUGCCACAUCACAAGCCUUUCUUUCAGCAUAACUCUUCUCCCUGGACUGAGCUGUACAAAGCCGCUCCUGGAUCAACUUCACCUUUUCUAAAGCAUAAGGAAUCAAAUCAGUGCCCAACAACUUAACCUCAUCAGGCUCAAACCAACCAAUCAUAGAACAACAUCGCAUCUCUUAUAAGGACUCAUAUAGAGCCAUUUGGAUACUCGACUAAUAGUUGUUGCUGUAGGCGAACUAUGCUAACGGCAAAUAUUGAUCCCACUGACCCCCAAAAUCAAUAACACAGGCUCGUAGCAUGUCAUCCAAGAUCUGAAUAGUGCGCUCAGUCUGCUAUCCCUCUAGGGAUGAAAUGUUGUACUUAGCUCGACUUGUGUGCCUAGAUCAAUACUUAUCUUCAAAAAUGCGAUGUAAACUGCAUGCCUCGAUGCGAGAUUAUAGAUACGGGAAAAUCAUGAUGAUGAACAAUAUCCCGAAUAUAAAUUUGAGGCAGUUGUUUAGAAGAGUAACUAGUCAUUACUAGAAUGAAGUGUGUAGACUUGGUCAGUCUGUCCACAAUGACCCAUACUGCAUCAAAUCUGCUCAAAGUCUAUGGGAGUCCAACUACCAAAUCCAUGGUGAUACGCUCCCACUUCUACUCCAAAAUAUCUAGCCUCUGAAGCAAACCUAUCCGGUUUCUGAUGCUUGUACUUCACUUGCUGACAAUUCAAACACCGAGCAACAUACUCAACAAUAUCCUUCUUCAUGCUCCGCCACUAAUAGUGCUGCCUCAAAUCAUGGUACAUCUUUGCGGCACACAGAUGAAUGGAAUACCGCGAACUACAGGCCUUCUCUAGAAUCAACUCUCGCAACUCAUCCAUAUACGGAACAAAAAUCUGACCCUGAAGCUCAAUACCCCAUCAUCUCCAAUAUUAACCUCCAUAUCACCACCGUGUUGCACUGUUUCCCUUAGUACAAGCAAGUGGGGAUCAUCAUACUGACGCGCCUUGAUGCGCUCCAACAAGGACGAUCGUGAUUGAUUAUUGGCUAUAAAUGUAUGUUUGUAGUGUAUUACUUGCCUUAUAUUUUGGUGUUUUAAUUAUAAUAUGUGCGACAUUUUGGUCUUAAUUUUGUUGUUUUUAUGUGUUGGAUAGUUGAAGGAUGAAAACGAGUGAAGGUUGCAAUCAAGAAUGUCAAAAAUACAUAAAAUGAGCACGAUAAGGCACAAAUCGGGACAAGGACAGGAACCAGGCGCCAGGACAGCAACGCCUACCUCCAAGUGAAGAAGACAAGGUGAGGAAGCAGGCGAUGCGAACUCUAACGUAUGCCCCAGGUCAGGCCUCGCGAACUCCGAGGCAUAGACCAUUUCCAGUCCGUGCAUUAAACGUUUCCCACUUGGUUUUGAACUUGGGGACUCCGACCCUAGCCUAUAAAUAACUCUUAAACGUUAUUAGUUAGGGGUUGGUCAAUUUUCGAAGGUGGCAAAGGCUUAGAAAUAAAAAUGGUGCACGGAAUUCAUUGAAUCUUACAUCCUUCAUCUAGUAUUCAUAGCUUUUAUGUUUAAAAACAAUACUUUGAUUAUUAUUAUUAUGAACACGAGUGGCUAAUAACCUCAUUAUUCUGGGGUUAUGGGUUGUUAUUGACUAUUAUUGUUUGAUGGUUGAUUAUUUUGCUUGAGUUAUCAUAUUAAUUUUCUUAUUCAAUCUUGCACUUAAUUAUUAUAUUACGUAGUUAACAAUAGAAUAGUAUCUACGAAUUUAUAAUUGAACUCAAAAGUGGGAACUAUAGAUUGCAUAUAAGAUUGAGUUGAGUUAGUUAUUGAAUCUGGGCAUCAGAGAAUAGAUUCGCGAUUAGGAUAUAUAUAUUCUAGUUGCCUUACUUGGUUAUUUUCGUAGGAAAUAUACAUGCAAUUCUUGUUAAUUCUAAUUUUAUAGACAUAUAGUAUUAGGUUGUCUUGAAUAGGCGAGCGAAGCGUCGAAAGAACUUCGUGAGUAUAAUAAACCUUAUUACCCAAUAAAUUAGAUAAAUCAAGUAAUUAAAUCAACAAGAAGACUGCAAUAAGAGAGACGUUAAUCCCAUAACCCAGGAAUAUUCCCAUCUUAUUGAACUCUUCCCAAGUGUCGGCAUUUUUGCUUUGCACCGUUGAAUUUAUUGCUUGUAUAGUAAUUUCGUAGUAACUUUUAGUAUCAAAAAUCACAAACAUCUUCUUCACAACCCCUUGAGAAAUUACUUAUAAUUGUUUAGGCUAGACGAGAGUUAAUCAUAAAUCUUCGUGGGACGAUACUUUCUCAUCACUUUUUUACCUGUCGACCGCGCAUACUUGCGUGUGCGUUCGGACCCAACAAGUUUUUGGCGCCAUUGCCUGGGAUUUAGAAAUUAGCUACUUGUCUGAAAUAAGAUUUUAUUUGUUGUUGUUCGAGUUUUAAUUUGUUUUAUUGUUUCUGACUCUACAUGUGUUCACAUUGAAUGCUAAGAAGAAGUAACAAUUUGAACAAUCUUUCUUUCCCUGAUCCUAAACCCGAAAGACUUUUUCAUAUGUUAAGAAGGGAGGCACAAGAAAGAGCAAGAACUGCAGAGUUGGGCAUCGUAGUCCAACCACAAUCAAUAAAGAUGGUAGAGAAUGAUGAGAGACCGGUGAUUGAGGCCACAAGGACUAGUCUCACAAACAUGACUCAGGCUAUCGUGAAGCCUGACAUAACUGGUUACUUCGAGCUGAAAUAGUACAUAGUGCAACCAAUUCAAUCCACAUGGCAAUUUGUAGGUUUAUCGAGUGAAGAACCGCAAAGGCACAUAUAAAUUUGUUUUGGAGAUUAUAGAUACAUACAACUAUUUGAAUGUCUCCAAGGACUCUAUCAAACUAACCUUGUUUCCCUUUUCUCUGUUGGGAGAAACAAAGGAAUGGUUGAACAAAGAGCCAACAAACUCAAUCCACAUAUGGGAUGAUCUAGCACGGAAAUUCCUCAUCAAAAUUUUUUUCACAAAGAAAACAAAGUCACUGAGAAGCCAAAUUCUGGGGUUUGAAAAAAAAUAUAUGGCGAGACUCUAUGUCAAGCUUGAGAGAGAUAUAAAAAACUACUCAAAGAUUUCCCGCAUCACUGUCAAACAAAUGAAGUGUUGGGUCAUACUUUUGUGGAUACGUUAGACGAGAUUUCCAAAUUGAAUCUAGACACAGCUUGUGGAGGUAGUUUCAUGCAAAAGCCAUACAGUGAGAUUCAGACUCUACGGAAUAACAUUGUGAACGAUCAUAACUGGCAAGGUGAGGGUGAACCACAAAGAAUUAUAAAAUAGAGAGUAGUAGGUACAACUGUGCUUGAUGAGUUCUCAACCAUGAGAGCAGAUAUAGAAAAGUUAGCCAAUCAAGUGAAUAAGAUGUCGAUGCAACAAGCACAUUAGAUGCAGCAUGUGCAACCGAUGAAUGCAGUUUGUGAAGUUUGUGGAGAUGUUCACAUGAGUUACUAAUGUCCGAUAAAUCCAGAAUCUAUUUAUUAUGUGGGACAUCAGGAUAGAGGUCUAAUGAACCAAAUGCACAAUAUGGGAACACUUAUAAUCCCAACUGGAGGAAUCACUCAAACUUCUCAUGGGGUGGAAAUCGGGCUACUCAAAAUCAAUACAGACCCCAAGGAAACUAUAUUCUGCCCCAAAAGCCACUACAACAGGUAGAGGAAAGCACAAUGAUAUGUUGAAAAUGAUGUAAUUGACAACCAAUAGUUGAGGACUAAUUUUUGAAAUUUAGAGAGGCACAUUGGGCAGUUGCCCGCACAUAAAAAUACUCAACCUGCAGGUGUCCUUCAAAGUGAUACAUAGAUGAAUCCUCAAGUAAAUGCUAUAUCUUUAAGGAAUAGUGGAGAAUUGAAAGAAGUACCAAAAAAAAAAAGAAAGAAUAAGUCACUCCUGAAGGCGAACUAGUUCUUAAAGCUGUGGUGAAAAUUGGGAAUGAUACUGAGAAAAGUGAGAAAACACCAAUUGCAAGGCCACCACCCCUUCCCACAAAGUUUGAAGAAGAAGAGUGAUGACAGAAUGUUCAAUAAAUUUCUUGAUAUACUGAGCCAAAUCCAACUAUAUCUCCCAUUAGGUUAUGUGUUACAUGAAAUUACGAAGAAUGCUAAGUAUGUCAAGGAUAUUGUGGCAAACAAAAUAUGAUUGAUGAAGUUUGAAAUAGAAUCACUUACUGCAGAGUUCACUUUACGAAUUGAAAGAAAGUUGCCCUAAAAGUUGAAGGAUCCUAGAAGCUUUACCAUCCCUGUUCAAAUUGAUGAGAUGGAUGUAGGACGGGCACUUUGUGAUUUGGGGGCUAGCAUGAAUUUGAUGCCUCUCUCGAUUUUCAGUCAGUUGGGUUUGGGGGCCCAAAGGCAAACCACUUUCAUGGUACAUGUUUCUAAUAGAUCUAUUGAUCAUCCCGGGAGGGAGGGGGUGAUAGAAGAUGUGCUACUACAAAUUGGUUUUUUAUUCUCCCGGCGUAUUUCAUCAUAUUGGACUAUGAAGCUGAUGAACAUGUUGCAAUUAUCUUGGGACGAUCCCUCUUAGCCACCGCCAAUGCUAUGAUCUCAGUGGUUGAAAAGGAAGAAGAAAAUAAUGACGUGGAUGCAUAUCUGGAUGACUCUAUAGAGAAAGCACUUAUGUUGUUCGACAUCAUUGACUUGGAUGAUGAGGUUAAGGAGACGGUGCACUAUCUUGAUGCAUGUGCUUAAAUCAAAGGGAUGAUUAAUUUCGAGCCUCUAGAUUGACAGCCACCAUCCAUGCCGUCCAUCGAAGAAUCUCCCAAAUUGAAGCUCAAGUCCUUUCUGUCUUACCUUCAUUAUGCUUAUUAGGGUGCUAACGAAACUUUACCUAUUGUUGUAUCUUUUGAGUUGUCUAUUUUGUAGGAUGAGAAGCUACUUCGCAUGCUUAGAGAGCACAAGCGUGCGAUUGGAUGGACCAUGGAUGACAUUCGUGGUAUUAGCCCAAUGUUUUGUAUGCAUAAAGUUCUCAUGGAGGAUGGGCAUAAACUAAGUGUGAAACAUCAACGCCUCUUGAACCUAGUCAUGAAGGAAGUGGUAAGAAAGGAAGUCAUAAAGUAGCUAGAUGCAGGUGUGUUAUCUUUCCCAACUCUGAUAGCAAGUGGGUAAGUCAAAUAAAGUGUGUGCCUAAGAAGGGUGGAAUGAUGAUAGUCAUAAAUGAGAAUAAUAAAUUAAUUCCAACUAGAAUUGUCACAUAUUGAUGAAUUUUCAUAAAUUACCCGAAAUUAAAUAUUGCUACUAGAAAUGAUCGCUUCCCCCUUCCCUUCAUUGAUCAGAUGUUAGAUAGGUUAGCCGGACAAGACUAUUGUUAUUUUCUUGAUGGAUAUUCCAGCUAUAAUCAAAUAUUAAUUGCACUAAAUGACCAAGAUAAGACCACCAUUACUUGCCCUUAUGACACUUAUGCUUUUAAGAGAAUGCCAUUUGGGUUGUGCAAUGAACCUGCGACUUUACAAAGGUGCAUGAUGGCAAUCUUCACUGAUAUUGUAGAAAUAUUUAUUAAAGUAUUUAUGGAUAUUUUUUCGGUCUUCAGACUAUCUUUUGAUGAAUGCAUAAUGAAUUUUAGUAAAGUGCUUGAUAGAUGUGAAGAGACAAACUUGGUACUGAAUUGGGAGAAGUGCCAUUUUAUGGUACGAGAAGGGAUUAUACUCGGGUACAAAGCGUCCAAACAUAGGUUGGAAGUGGAUAAGGCAAAAGUGGAAGCAAUUGAUAAACAUCCACCUCCAAUUUAUAUCAAAUGAGUUAGAAGCUUUCUGGGUCAUGCAGGUUUCUAUCGCAGAUUCAUUAAAUAUUUCUCUAAGAUUUCUACUACCUUGUGGAGGUUGCUUCAGAAGGACAGACCUUUGAAGUUUGAUGAGGAUUGCUUGAAGGCAUAUGAGGAGUUAAAAAAGAGAUUGGUGACUGCACCGAUUAACACCGCCCCAAAUUGGGGGAGCCGUUUGAGUUGAAGUGUGAUGUACUGACAUGGAAAUUGGGGUCGUACUAGACCAGUAGAAAAACAAAGUGUUCUACUCGAUUUACUAUACUAGCAAAAUAUUAAAUCCAGCAUAGAUAAAUAACACGGUCACAAAAAAAAAGAGUUGCUAGUGAUAUUGUGGGCGUUUGACAAAUUUAGGGCCUACUUGGUGAGAACUAAAGUCAUCGUCUAUACAGACCAUGCAGCCAUCAAGUAUUUAUUUGAGAAAAAAGGAUACUAAUCUUAGACAAAUUUGAUGGGUUCUUAUUUUGUAGGAAUUUUAUGUGGAAAUUAAAGAACAAAAUGGGAUUGAAAAUCAGGUAGCCGAUCACUUAUGGCAUUGGAAACUUGCACGCAUGCCGAUGAAGAGGGCGAGAUUCAGAAAACCUUUCCUGAUGAGAAACUGUUAGCCGUUAUGGCUAGCGUAGCCCCAUGGUAUGCUGAAUAUGUGAAAUUCAUUGUAAGUGGGGUGACGCCUUCAGAGUUUUCAACGGAUGGUAAGAGUAAAUUCAUGCAUGAUGUUAGAUUUUAUCUUUGGGAUGAGCCAUUUUUGUUUAAGCAUUGUGCAGAUCAGUUUGUGCGCCGAUGUGUCCCUGAGGAGGAGAUGGAAGAAAUUUUUCAUGAAUGUCAUGCAUCACCUUAUGUAGGGUACCAUGGUGGAGACAAAACUGCGGCAAAGGUGUUGCAGUCGGGAUUCUAUUGGCCGACUUUGUUCAAGGAUACACAUGCUUUUGUGAAAAGAUGUGAUAGGUGUUUCCCUCUGUUUUCUCGCGAGAACGGGUUUCGACAUGUGACAACUCUCUUAAACAGGUAUUAAAAGAGAAAAGUCUCCACCUAAUAAUUUUUUAAGGUGCGUUAUUUGUAAAUAACUCCGUUUUAACUAGUCUGUGUUACCAAAGAUCGGGUAAGGGCUCAAAUUACCUCCAAGAGAAGGUGUUAGGCACUCUUCGAGGUCGACAACUGUAUUUCCCGUCCAAAUUAUAAAAGAUGUGGGAAUGAUCAAAUUGUAAAUAAUUAUUCUUAGUGAGCAUGCAAAUUAAUCCCUGGUAAAAAUAAUGGAAUAAAAGAGUCUAAGUAAAUGAUUAGUUACUCUAGGUGGAAUAGGUGGAAUAGGAUGAAGUAAUUAAUCAAAAGAAAUAAUAAAGAAGUAAUAUAAAGGAAAUAAUUUGAAAGAAUAAACUAAUGGGUACAACUCUUUUGGCUACAAGAUGUAAAAUUUAGAUAAACCUAAAUUCCUCAACUAACUAAAGGGGCAACAACAUUUAGACAUGACGGGGGGGGGGGGAGGGGGGGGAGGGGGGUCCGAGAUUUCUUAGGCUAAAGGAUCACACCGUGAAACAUAAAUAAUACUUUUUAACACUUAAGUGCAAUGGUUUCGCAUAUUAUCCAGCAAGCACAAACUAUCAUUUCUAGCUACCCGAUUACUAUCUUCAAUUGUUUACCUAAAGCGCACUAAUUCAAUCUAAGUUGUACCCUAUAUAUGUCUACCUAUCCCAUGCCUAUGGUCCAGGAGGUAUUGGACCGCUAUACAAGUGGUUCUCGACUCAUCCUAGGCUUUUCAAAAUUAAAAUACUAGGUGCCACAUAAUUAACAAACUGAACUUCAUAAAAAGUACAGUUAGCACAAAUGGCUCAUGUUUACCUCCACAAAAGACCUGCAUGAAUGUCAACAAAUAUCGAUUAACAGUUAUGGAGAAAUGGCAGAAUUGAUAAGUGAAUUGCCCUAUGAAUAUGCUCUUCUAGUCGCAAGAUUAAGUCGGGCAGUCAUGAGCUAAUGCGCAUUGAAUUAAUUAGUCCUAAAAUACGGUUUCUAUGUGGAAUCGCAGACGACCAGUUGCAACUAAUUAAAUUCAGAACUUAUACAUGGAUAAUCAAAGAAGACAAACUUCAUUAUUUAAGUACUAUGGGCAAGAUUUCUAAAUGAUUAUGAUUCAGACUGUUUUUAAAAUGACACAGGAGUUAAGUGAUACAAGUUCUUAUUUAUGGGACCUAUAGCCAUUAUUCCUAGGUAUGAAGUAUUAAGAGCAUAGUUUGUAGUAGGAUCAAUUGAACUAAUUAAAAAUCCCAUAUGCAUGAUACUAAAAUAUUAAAUCCUAAUACAUGAUACUAUAUGCAUGCUUUUAACCCAUUUAUGUAGUAAAUAAACUACCCCAAGCCCCUCUUAAGACUAUAUUCCCCAUCAUCUAUUUUUACAAGUUAUUACAGAUCAAAUAGAAUAGUUACAGGCACAAUUAUAAAACAACCCAAUAACGCAUCUGGGCCUUCAAAUAGACAUAGAACUUCAUGCGGGCGGCAAGCCCAAACUCUAGGUGCAAAGGCCACGCUGACAGUGUAUUUCUGACCUAAUACCAAACCUGGCCCAACAAACCAGUCCCAAAAGAAGCAACUACUUUGUUUACCCAUUAUUAUUAACAAGCAACAGGAACGCAAAGAACAUAAGUGAAAGCCUACGCAAAUCAGUUAUUUAGGCGACUUCAAAUUUAGGAAAGAACAUAUGCACAUUGGGUCCUUAUUUUUACAACUAACAAAGAACAAGAACCUUUAAAUAAUAUCAUAGGAUGUGAUAUUUAAGAGGUGAAAGAGCACAUAAAUAAGGAAAGGACACCUUUGAAAGUCUAUUAGCCUCAUAAAAUCUUAUGAAAUGGUAGGAACAUGAAGGGGGUAUACAAAACAUAUAGGUUAGAACAAACAUACAUCUGAUGGCUUUACCAGGUACAUAGAAUUAGUUCACAAUGACAGCCUCACAAAGAUAGACCUCCUAGAGUAGUCAGUACUUGAACGCAAAGAACAUAACAGACACGAGUCCUUCACAGGAAAGACUUAGCAUGAAAGUUUAACAUGGUCAUGAACUAAUCCUAGGAGGGUAACUAAAUACAAGCACUUACAGGAAAAGCUCUAACAUGAAAACCUAAAAAUAAAGCAUGGUCAAGGACUAAUUCUGAGGAGAUGGCAAAUACUAGUUCAUACAUGAAAGGCUUAGCAUGCAAAUCUAAGAUAAAAAAUAUCCAGGAAAUAAUUCCGAGAAGAUAACAAUAGCAGUCCUCACGGGGAAGACUUCAGCAUGAAAAUCUAAGGUAAUACAUAAUCAAGAACUUAAUCCUGAGAACAUAACAAGCAGAAGUCCUUACAGGAAAGACUUUACAUGAAAAUUCAGGGCAGACAUGGUCAUGAUUUAGUCAUAACAAAAAAUAAAUCCUUACACAAAGACUUAACAUUAACAUACAUGGAUCCUCAAAACAAUAUUUGACUAUGAAAUUGCAGCAAAUCAUACGACAAAAGUGCAAUAUUAGAGUUCACAAAUAGCAGGGUUACCUAAGUCAUGCUCGUCUAUUUUGAUAGGUGUUUACACAGUAUUGGCACACAAAAUACAUGUAACAUGAACAAGUAGAGAAGUAAGAAUUAAAACUGUAAGAGUCAAGAGCACUAACCAGUUGCAAAGAUAAAAGAGCAAAAGAGUAAGAAAAUUAGCAUUUCAGUAGUGGCUCAGUAGUAGCAAUUGAAGGAGGAUAGUGAGAACCCCAAGUCUCCGGUGCUUCAGAGUUAACAAGAGCCUCGAAAGGGCUUCGAGAAGUGCUUUCACUAGAGGAGGUAAUUAAGAAAUACCACGGUGGCCUUGUCCUUUAGCCGGAUAAGAACCAAAUCGAACACAAUAGUUUCAGAGAACCAGAACACAAUAUAACAAUUUGCGAGUGUUCGGGAGUAGUCAAUAAAGUAUGUUUAGGGGAAUUGCGGAAGGGGUUUAUAUAGUGUUAGAUUCACAUAAUCAGAAAAAGAAAAAGAUCAAUCAAAUAACAAAAUCGAAUAAAACUCAUGUAAACCUUAAUCGAGAAGAAAUCGACGGAAAUACGCAGGGACAUAGAAAUAUUCUCCCUUUCUGGAUUUACAGAGCCACAAUCGUGUCCGGAUCCAUAAGGUUGAAGUCAUAUCAACCCGAUUCAGGAGAAUCAUACUUUCCAUAGAUGGAUUGGUAACGAAUGUUACCAUAACUGAGCGAGUGAGCACGAAUAAAGUAUGUGAGCCUGCGUAUGGACGCGUAAAAAGGAAAGAACAGAGAAAAUCUUCAUGGCCGGCUAGGGUUUCAUCGUGAGCUAUGAAGAGAGUGACUGAGGGUGGCCGAAAUGGGAAAAUACGGGUUAGGGGUGGGGUUUGGUCAGAUAAAAGAGAGGGAUGGA
rnacentral:lncRNA from 1 species